rnacentral:rRNA from 1 species
UACGAAGGGGGCUAGCGUUGCCCGGAAUCACUGGGCGUAAAGGGCUCGUAGGCGGCCAACUAAGUCGGAUGUGAAAUCCCCAGGCUCAACUUGGGAACUGCAUCCGAUACUGGAUGGCUUGAAUUCGGGAGAGGGAUGCAGAAUUCCAGGUGUAGCGGUGAAAUGCGUAGAUAUCUGGAGGAACACCGGUGGCGAAGGCGGCAUCCGGGACCAUGACUGACGCUGAGGAGCGAAAGCCAGGGGAGCAAACGGG